rnacentral:rRNA from 1 species
GACGAACGCUGGCGGCGUGCUUAACACAUGCAAGUCGAACGGAAAGGCCCUGCUUUUGUGGGGUGCUCGAGUGGCGAACGGGUGAGUAACACGUGAGUAACCUGCCCUUGACUUUGGGAUAACUUCAGGAAACUGGGGCUAAUACCGGAUAGGAGCUCCUGCUGCAUGGUGGGGGUUGGAAAGUUUCGGCGGUUGGGGAUGGACUCGCGGCUUAUCAGCUUGUUGGUGGGGUAGUGGCUUACCAAGGCUUUGACGGGUAGCCGGCCUGAGAGGGUGACCGGCCACAUUGGGACUGAGAUACGGCCCAGACUCCUACGGGAGGCAGCAGUGGGGAAUAUUGCACAAUGGGCGGAAGCCUGAUGCAGCAACGCCGCGUGCUGGAUGACGGCCUUCUGGUUGUAAACCGCUUUCGCCUGUGACGAAGCGUGAGUGACGGUAAUGGGUAAAGAAGCACCGGCUAACUACGUG